AGGACGAACGCUGGCGGCGUGCUUAACACAUGCAAGUCGAGCGGAAAGGCCCUUCGGGGUACUCGAGCGGCGAACGGGUGAGUAACACGUGAGUAACCCGCCCCUAGCUCUGGGAUAGCUCCGGGAAACCGGGAUUAAUACCAGAUACGACCACUUUAGACAUCUGUCGUGGUGGAAAGGAUUCCGGCUAGGGAUGGGCUCGCGGCCUAUCAGCUUGUUGGUGGGUAACGGCCUACCAAGGCGACGACGGGU
rnacentral:rRNA from 1 species